ACAGGGAUUGCCCUAGUAACGGCGAGUGAAGCGGCAACAGCUCAAAUUUGAAAUCUGGCUCUUUCAGAGUCCGAGUUGUAAUUUGCAGAGGGCGCUUUGGCUUUGGCAGCGGUCCAAGUUCCUUGGAACAGGACGUCACAGAGGGUGAGAAUCCCGUACGUGGUCGCUAGCUAUUGCCGUGUAAAGCCCCUUCGACGAGUCGAGUUGUUUGGGAAUGCAGCUCUAAAUGGGAGGUAAAUUUCUUCUAAAGCUAAAUAUUGGCCAGAGACCGAUAGCGCACAAGUAGAGUGAUCGAAAGAUGAAAAGCACUUUGGAAAGAGAGUCAAACAGCACGUGAAAUUGUUGAAAGGGAAGCGCUUGCAGCCAGACUUGCUUGCAGUUGCUCAUCCGGGCUUUUGCCCGGUGCACUCUUCUGCAGGCAGGCCAGCAUCAGUUUGGGCGGUGGGAUAAAGGUCUCUGUCAUGUACCUCUCUUCGGGGAGGCCUUAUAGGGGAGGCGACAUACCACCAGCCUAGACUGAGGUCCGCGCAUCUGCUAGGAUGCUGGCGUAAUGGCUGUAAGCGGCCCGUCUUGAAACACGGACCAAGGAGUCUAACAUCUAUGCGAGUGUUUGGGUGUCAAGCCCGAGCGCGUAAUGAAAGUGAACGGAGGUGGGAACCCGCAAGGGUGCACCAUCGACCGAUCCUGAAGUUUACGGAAGGAUUUGAGUAAGAGCAUGGCUGUUGGGACCCGAAAGAUGGUGAACUAUGCUUGAAUAGGGUGAAGCCAGAGGAAACUCUGGUGGAGGCUCGCAGCGGUUCUGACGUGCAAAUCGAUCGUCAAAUUUGGGCAUAGGGGCGAAAGACUAA
rnacentral:rRNA from 1 species